CAGAGGAAGUAACGACCAAAGAGUGUGGGAGUGUCUGGUUCCAGCAGAUUUCGUACCACCUCAAGUCAAUCCAAUCAACCCUAAUCCAGGUGCUGAGGCUGAACUGAACCAGCUCACAGAUGCAGCUUUUGUGGAUAAGCACAUGGCUGAUCUCAUUCAGAGGGUCAAGAUGGUGCAACAUGUAGCAGAUGACCUCGUUAUGGAGGAAGUGAUCCAAGAUGAAUUGUAUUCAAGAAUCUGCAGUGCUGAUAACACUGAGAAACAAAUAAGACUAAUGUUUGAUGCUGUACAAGCAGGAGGAACAAGAGUGAAAUCUGCCUUCUACAAAGCUCUCCAAAACCAUGAACCUCGUCUUGUCCAGGACCUGGCAGCAGAUUCCCACUGAUGAAUGGGAUGGCUUGGGUUGGUCCUCGACCGCUGGACAAAGGGCAGCAAGUGGGCCCUCUUCAGGAGCAGGAUAUGAGAAUACUACAGUCAUUAUGCUCCUAAUCCGCAUUGGAGUGUUGGGAGACAUGACAGCAGAAAGUCUAUGAUGAUUAAAACUUAAAACUGUUAUAGUCUUGGUUAACCUGGAGAAAUCCAGUGUGUUUGUGCUAACAUUCCACUCCUUGUCAUGCCAAACAGUCUGGCUGUAUCGCAUGACAAGAAUCAUUCGUCACGUGCACAGGAUACACUGUGUGAGUGUGUAAAUUAAUGAAUAUGAGUGUGCGUGAGUGUGUGUGUGUGGGAAUGUUUGGAGUGGUGUGCAUAGACAGCCAGUGAUUGCAGGUAGACAGUCAUUGAUAAGCAGUUCAGCAGUCUUAAUGCUUCAGAGCUCGCCCCCAGUGAUGGACUGUGUAGUCUUCCCACCCUCUGUAAAGCCUUGUGGUGGAGGGCGGUGCAGCUGCCGUACCAGGUGGUGAUACAGUAGAAGCUUGUGAGGAUCUGAAGGGCUAUGCCAAGUUUCUUUCAGCCGCCUGAGGAAGAACAGGUUCUUGUGGUGGUUCACUGGUGUGCCUUCUUGAUAAAUGCACCAAGGAGAGGCAAGGAGUGGAAUGUUAUCACAAACACACCAGAUUUCUUCAGGCUAGUAAUGUGUCCUAGUGUUUACAAUCAUUCUUAACCAUGUUCAUUUUUAAAUGUAU